rnacentral:rRNA from 1 species
ACCAGACUCCUACGGGAGGCAGCAGUGGGGGAUAUUGCACAAUGGGGGGAACCCUGAUGCAGCGACGCCGCGUGGGUGAAGAAGCGCCUCGGCGCGUAAAGCCCUGUCAGCAGGGAAGAAAAUGACGGUACCUGAAGAAGAAGCCCCGGCUAACUACGUGCCAGCAGCCGCGGUAAUACGUAGGGGGCAAGCGUUAUCCGGAUUUACUGGGUGUAAAGGGGGCGCAGACGGCGAUGCAAGCCAGGAGUGAAAGCCCGGGGGCCAACCCCGGGACUGCUCUUGGAACUGCGUGGCUGGAGUGCAGGAGGGGCAGGCGGAAUUCCUGGUGUAGCGGUGAAAUGCGUAGAUAUCAGGAGGAACACCGGUGGCGAAGGCGGCCUGCUGGACUGCGACUGACGUUGAGGCCCGAAAGCGUGGGGAGCAAACAGGAUUAGAUACCCUAGUAGAC